rnacentral:misc_RNA from 1 species
GGAAGGAUCAUUAAUGAAUUUGGAGGCUGUCGCUGGCUAGGUGAUUCUAGCAUGUGCACGUCUACACUUUUAAACCCCACACUUGUGAACCCAUUGUAGAUCGAGUCCAUUGAAAAGUAGUGUCGAACUACCUAAUAGAGGGCUAAUUGGCUUAUCGAAAAGUAAGAAGUUUAUUGAAAAGUAGCAUGAACUACCUAAUAGAAAGUUUAGUACCUAAUAGAGGACUGGUUGGCUUAUUGAAAAGUACCUAAUAGAGGGUCAGUUGGCUUAUCGAAAAGUAAGAGGCUUAUUGAAAAGUAGUGUAAACUACCUAAUAGAAAGCUUAGUACCUAAUAGAGGGCUAGUUGGCUUAUCGAAAAGUACCUAAUAGAGGGUCAGUCGGCUUAUCGAAAAGUAAGAGGCUUAUCGAAAAGUGGUGUCAACUACCUAAUAGAAAACUUAGUACCUAAUAGAGAGCUAAUUGGCUUAUCGAAAAGUGGUGAGAACUACCUAAUAGAGGGCUGAGUUGGCUCAUCGAAACGUAGUUAAUAGAGGGCUGGUUGGCUUAUCGAAAAGUAUGAGGCUUAUUGAAAAGUAGUGUGAACUACCUAAUAGAAAGCUUAGUACCUAAUAGAGGGCUAGUUGGCUUAUCAGUUGGUUGGCUUAUUGAAAAGUAUGAGGCUUAUUGAAAAGUAGUGUAAAACUACCUAAUAGAAAGCUUAGUACCUAAUAGAAGGCUAGUUGACUUAUGUUAGUUGGCUUAUUGAAAAGUACGGGCUUAUUGAAAAGUAGUUUGAACUACCUAAUAGAAAGCUUAGUUACCUAAUAGAGAGCUAGUUGGCUUAUCGAAAAGACUACCUAAUAGAGGGCCCCAGAAGAUCUAUGUUUAAUCUACACAACAUCGUAUGUCCAGAAAUUAUAAAUAAAUUACAACUUUCAGCAAUGGAUCUCUUGGUUCUCGCAUCGAUGAAGAACGCAGCGAAUCGCGAUAAGUAAUGUGAAUUGCAGAUUUUCAGUGAAUCAUCGAAUCUUUGAACGCACCUUGCGCCCCUUGGUAUUCCGAGGGGCAUGCCUGUUUGAGUGUCAUUUUAUCAUCAACUCAUUAGUCUUUGAUUAGGCUUUUGGGCUUGGACUUGGGAAUUGCUGGCUUGAUCUUUUACCCAUUGAACAGUAUCUAAUACUUAAUAGAGGGAAAAAGUGUAGUCGGCUGUCCUUAAAUGCAUUAGCGAGUGUUAGUCUACAUGGCACGGCCUCUUGACGUGAUAAUGAUCGUCGUGGGCUGGAAGUGUAGUGUCUGGCUUCUAAAUCCCGAUUUUGCGUGCAUACGGCCCAUAAAGCUGGAAGCGCAAUCAAAUUCGACUACGUGCAUACGGCCCAUAAAGCUGGAAGCGUAGUCAAAAUGACAAGUUUGACCUCAAAUCAGGUAGGACUACCCGCUGAACUUAAGCAUAUCAAUAAGCGGAGGAAAAGAAACUAACAAGGAUUCCCCUAGUAACUGCGAGUGAAGAGGGAAAAGCUCAAAUUUUGAAUCUGGCGGUCAUUCAGGCCGUCCGAAUUGUAAUCUAGAGAAGUGUCUUCCGCGCUGGCCUGUGUACAAGUCUCCUGGAAGGGAGCAUCAUAGAGGGUGAGAAUCCCGUCUUUGACACAGACUACCAGGGCUAUGUGAUGCACUCUCAACGAGUCGAGUUGUUUGGGAAUGCAGCUCAAAAUGGGUGGUAAAUUCCAUCUAAAGCUAAAUACAGGCGAGAAACCGAUAGUGAACAAGUACCGUGAGGGAAAGAUCAAAAGAACUUUGAAAAGAGAGUUAAACAGUACGUGAAAUUGCUGAAAGGGAAACGCUUGAUGUCAGUCGCGUUGAUUAGGGAUCAACCUUUAAUUUGGUGUACUUCCUAGUCGACGGGUCAGCAUCAGUUUCGGUCAUCGUACAAAGGCAAGGGAAAGUAACUAAUAAUUAUGGACCCUCGUCGGAUGCGCGUGGUCGGGACUGAGGAAACCUCUGCACCUUUUCGUUAGUGUGUUCAGAGAUGCUGGCAUAAUGGCCUUAAGCGACCCGUCUUGAAACACGGACCAAGGAGUCUAACAUGCCUGCGAGUGUUUGGGUUUGCAAACUCGAGCGCGUAAUGAAAGUGAAAGUUGAGACCUCUGUCGUGGAGGGCAUCGACGCCCGGACCUCUUGUCUUUGACGAGGGAUCUGCGGUAGAGCAUGUAUGUUGGGACCCGAAAGAUGGUGAACUAUGCCUGAAUAUGGUGAAGCCAGAGGAAACUCUGGUGGAGGCUCGUAGCGAUUCUGACGUGCAAAUCGAUCGUCGAAUUUGGGUAUAGGGGCGAAAGACUAAUCGAACCAUCUAGUAGCUGGUUCCUGC